rnacentral:lncRNA from 1 species
UGGCUUUCAUGAAAAGUUAACCCCUCCCUCUGUUUUAUUCAUCUCUUCAUUCUUUCAUCUCUCCAUCCAAGAGUUUAACAUUGCUGUCUCUACACGCAUCCAUCAUUCUACCCUUCAUUUCAUUUAAUAAUUGAUCCAUCCAUUCAUCCAUCCAGGAGACAGAUGCAUUCAUUCAAAUCAUUCGAAACCAAGGAGGAUUUGGACAGAGGCCGAGCAUAGUGCAAUGAAGAUGCAGCCAUUUGCCUUUUACUUAGACUACUAACAUCGCAGCUUGUCAUCCAAAACAUCAAUUUUAAGGUCACCGUGUUUGUGUCUUAUAGAGUGGUGCUGCCUCGCUGUAUUUCAAAAAGCGAUGUUGUAACAGGUGGUUGCCUGGCUGUGCAGGGCGAUGCGGUCCUUCCUGCCCUUUUACUCACCCUUCAGGAGGGGUGCCUGCCAACCAAUCAGCUGCCCAGCAGGAUAAACAAGUUGGACCUCGUCCUUGUAAAUGGAGGAGGCAGAGGAGACGCAGACUGCAACAUAGUGUCAGGUUGCAUUUGAAGGUUGAUAUGUUGAUGUGACAGCUGCUGCAGCACACAGCCCACUCCUUAGCUAUUCUUAAUUAUAAGCAGAGGUGUUCACAUCUCACUUUCAAGCGCUGGUAAUUGGGACUAUGAAACUCAGUUUUAUAGUGUGAUUUAGCUAUAUUUACAAAGGGAUGAUUGGCUCACCAACAGACAAAGGUAGCAAGGAGGUCAGACUAUCACUUCUGUCAGAAAAAUCUGCAGAAAUCUGUUCUCAGGAAUAAGGAAAAGAAUACCUGCCCAUCCCUUCACUUUUGUGUUGUCAGUAACAUCUAACUCAAUAAAUAAUUUCCACUCAUCAUGUAAAUUGUCAGCCACUCAGUGAAAAUCUUUUUUGUUGAACUGUUGUUGUUGUUAUCGUCGUUGUUUUUCCUAAGAGCAGCAAUAUUCAUUGAAUAAAUUAUAUUUAUUCAACAGCAUGGAGAUGGAAAACCUAAUCGGAUUUUUGAUGAGGUGCACUUCUUUUCGGAGGUUUUAUUUUGCAGAAUGUUCCAUAAAUGACAUCUUGUUUAGGAUGUAGGUGUAAGACAGCAGCCAAAUUUUAAACUAGGUAGGAUUUCUGAAAUUGAUGGAUGCGGAUUUAUAUGUUUCGUUCAACUUUUAUCCAUCUGAAGUAGUAAAAUGAUGCAACUAAUAAAUGAAACUACAUAUUUUUUAUAUUCAUU